UAUAUAUAUAUAUAUAUAUAUAUAUAUAUAUAUAUAUAUAUAUAUAUAUAUAUAUAUAUAUAUAUAUAUAUAUAAGUGUAAUAAUAAUAUUUAUAUUUUAAUAAAAAGUUAAAGAGUUCGUUUAAUUUUUUUAAACUAAUUUUUAUUAUAUUAUAUUAAUAAUGUUUUUAUUCUUAUUUUUAAACUGAUAAUUUUGCUUGUGGUCUACAAUUUGAUGAAUUUAUUUAUGGUCCAUCAUAUCAAGAACACAAGAUACGAUCAUAAUGUUAAUAGACUACUGGUGUUGAUUCUAAGAGAUAUGUUUGGCUAUAAUCAAGAGAAUGCGAGAAAAAACGCAAAAAGAAAGAAAGAUAACAGUUAUUUGUUCUAAAAGCAUAUAUAUAAUAUCUAUAUAUAUAUAUAUAUAUAUAUAUAUAUAUAUAUAUAUAUAUAUAUAUAUAUAUAUAUAUAUAUAUAUAUAUAUAUAUAUAUAUAUAUAUAUAUAAAUUUUUAUUUAACUUUUUUUUAUGCAAUGUUUAGAGCAACUUAUGACAUUAAUAAUUGCAGAAUAUAUUUAUGUUAUUAA